AGGACGAACGCUGGCGGCGUGCUUAACACAUGCAAGUCGAGCGGAAAGGCCCUUCGGGGUACUCGAGCGGCGAACGGGUGAGUAACACGUGAGUAAUCUGCCCCUAGCUCUGGGAUAGUUCCGGGAAACCGGGAUUAAUACCAGAUACGACCACUUUAGACAUCUUCUGUGGUGGAAAGAACUUCGGCUAGGGAUGAACUCGCGGCCUAUCAGCUUGUUGGUGAGGUAACGGCUCACCAAGGCGACGACGGGUAGCCGGCCUGAGAGGGCGACCGGCCACACUGGGACUGAGACACGGCCCAGACUCCUACGGGAGGCAGCAGUGGGGAAUAUUGCGCAAUGGGCGAAAGCCUGACGCAGCGACGCCGCGUGGGGGAUGAAGGCCUUCGGGUUGUAAACCCCUUUCAGCAGGGACGAAGCGAAAGUGACGGUACCUGCAGAAGAAGCGCCGGCUAACUACGUGCCAGCAGCCGC
rnacentral:rRNA from 1 species